rnacentral:rRNA from 1 species
AACGUAGGUGGCGAGCGUUAUCCGGAUUCAUUGGGCGUAAAGAGCUUGUAGGCGGCGUCAUAAGUUGGACGUGAAAACUCCGGGCUUAACUUGGAGAGGCCGUUCAAUACUGUGAGGCUAGAGGGUGUCAGAGGGAAGUAGAAUUCCUGGUGUAGCAGUGAAAUGCGUAGAUAUCAGGAGGAAUACCCGUGGCGAAGGCGGCUUCCUGGGGCACCACUGACGCUGAGAAGCGAAAAGCUAGGGGGAGCAAACGGG